ensembl:lncRNA
AUUUGCCAAGCCUCCACACCUUCACCUAGGCCAGUGUUUGGCUCUUUCCUGCUGUAGCCAUGGCUACCAACAAUACUCGCAGCAACGCAAUGAGGGUGAGUCCAAGAGGAGUUAACACAAUGGCAGAGGGACAAUUCAAAACCUUGUCUGAGUCAGCUUCUCUCACAGAGAAACAUUUAGCUCACAAAACAGCGAGCUCCACACAGGAAUCGGUACAGGAUUCCUCCAAUGUCUUUAAGGGUGAGAGCUUUAAAGCAGAAUACAAACUUCUUCCCAGAAUCACACACUCGUCGUCACUACGCACCACUCUUUCACCCAAACGCUUCAGAGGAGAACGGAGGGUAACCUUUCUCGAGGACUACACCAACGUCCACAUUUCAGACAAGGACUUGUAUGGACAAAUAUGGACUAAAAACCAAAGCCCCAGCAUAUGUCCCUCCGUGUCAGAUCUGGCUCCACGCACACUUACUGACAUAACACACUUCCAGUCAGAGAUGGAGGCCAGCAUCAACAGACUGCUUCAACUCACCACGGAUCUGGAAAUAGCAACUAUUGUUCCAGAUAAAUCUGCAGCUGACUAUGAUGGAUGUGGAGUGUUUCCACUUUGGAAUGCCUUUCAGCCAAAUCUAUCUGAAGACAGACCCCUGGAGGUGGAUGGAUAUAACUGCACACUGAAGCCAAAGCAAUGUGCUGAAGAUAAAGCUCUCAAGUUAAUGGCACUACCAGCAUCUGUUUCUCCCCAAGGCCUGAUGAACGCACCGCAGAACAUCUUUCCUUCAGACCACAACAAACAGAUCUCUGCAUCACGACUGAUGACUCACAGAAGAGAGGAACCCACAGAAACCAGCAAGGUCAAUCUUAUCAGCUGCCUCAAGUUUAGCGGA